UCUUGCAAUGUGAGACCCCUGGGUCACUGUUGCUACCACCAGAUGAAAUUUGGACUUCCCAGCCUCAGAAACUAUUCUAGAAGCCUCUCACAGCAUCCCGGCUCUCCUCAAAUCACUGUCCAUCCGAAGAGCCUCCAGCGCCAUGGGGUCUGAUGCAAACUCCUCCUGCCUCCAUCUCCGUCCGCCUUCGCACCGACCCUCAUCCAUUUGGAGGCCUCUGCACCAGUUGAAAGGUCUCCGUGCUGUGUCUCACAGUAUCUGAACCCACUGGCACCUUGAAGCCAACAUUCUUUUGGUUUCUGGUACCUGAAACGUUCCCCUCUCUUCUUUACCUUUCUUUCCACUCCUUCCCAGCUCCAUUCAAACUUCAAUCCAGUAAUUAUAAGCAAGUGACAAAAUCUUAUUGAGCCUGUUUUCUCACACAUGUGACAGAUAGUACAUAUCUCAAUGGCUGUUGCAAGAUUUAAGUGUUGUCAUGAACGUGAAGUGUUUAAUAUUGAUCAAUGAUUGGUUACCAUUUCUGUACUGAAGACAUCCCUCCUAGAGACAUUGUUUCUUGUGCUCCCGUCUGGAUACUCUGCUUGCUGCACAGCUGUAAACCUGCCACAUUUUGCCAGGACUUCCUCUUUUGAGCCCAAACCACCCACUGUCUGGAUUAUGUCACUGGAUCAAACACAUCCUUCCAUUGCUUCACGAGAAAAGUUCCUAGCACAGUGCUUGGUGCACGUCGUGUGCGUUUGCAUCUUGUUAGGAUUAUGCAUACAUCUGUGAAAUACAUGAGGAAGACUGCUCUUAGAGUUGAUCUGCAGAGGAGAAAACCUCCGGAAGCGAAGCAGCGCACACAGACUGGAUUUCCACAGCAGAGCCCCAUUUCCUAUCACAGAAGUUGGGGACAGUCAGGGCUCCAAGUAGGAUUUCCCUUGGCGGCUGCUGAUCCUUAGGACGCUCCAGUGUCAAAGGGAACUGCUCGCCGUCCCACCUCACUUUUGGCCCAGUGGCUGCUGGAACCUCAAGCCCUGGAGAAAGGGGCGGGCCACCCGCGCUGCUCCCAGGAGAGCACCCCCCCCCGGGCGGGCGGGCUGUUCCUGGAUUGCGAAAGCCACUCCCCGAGCUCCCCAACCCUGUACUACAUCCACUUUAUCCAGCUUUUCGUUGUACUUUGGAUAUCCCUGUAAUAAACGGACAAGAAACUCGGAAGGAAUCCCGAACCGUCUGCACUCAGGAAUAAUAGUGAACUACGCAACUGAGACACGCAUCAAAUACACAGAAAUGUCCUGUGUUGAAAACGUUUGCACAC